UAAAGGGGAGACUUCGUCUUGAGUGUUUUGAAACUAAAGAUUCAUUUUCUUCAGGCUAGAGGAUGCUGGUUAUGCCGUUUAGAGCGGGGGUUCUUGAACUUCUUUGUCAUAGAGAUAAGUUAUUGUUAUCAUUUUUAUAGUCUUUGUCCAUUUGGAAGCAAUGCAUAACUGAUGCCUCAACUUGUACCAGGAAAAAAAAGAAGACUCACUUAGCUAUAUAAUUUGGAAAAUCUGAGAUCAGUUUGUUGAUGUAGAAUAUUAUCAACUUAAUAGGCAAUCUUUUGUUAGUGGAUGUGGUGGUGGCAUGAUAGAGUUUGGAUAAUGGCAUAAGGACAAUGUUUAAUAUGGGAAAUUUAGUGAGAACGAGUGUUUGUACUGAUGCUUAGUUUGUGUUUGAAGUAGGUAAGUACUGCUUAGUAUCGAUACUCCACGAAGGAGUAUUUGGGGGUGAUGUUGGGUACUUGUACGUGUAUUUGCUGAUGCUGUAAAUUUUAUGAGAUAGAUUGUAUAAGAACAUAAUGAAAGGACACAAAAAUGUUCUAGUAGGUAAGUACAUAUGUUUGUACAACAUAUAUGCACUAGUUUAUGCAAAUCAUAUGAAAAUAUUCAAUAACAUGGAUGUGUUGAUGGUGUUGGGAUGGUGGGUUGAAGAGUGCAUGCUUUACAACAAACUGAUGCACUUAAAAAAUGAUGUUGAUGGGGUGGUUCCCAGAUUUUUCUUUCUUGAAUCUUUCUUAAUUCAUUAUGUUCAUAUUGUUGAGUUUAGACUUCUGUUUAUUCACUGUAAAAUCAUGGUUAGGUGAACGAAAGAAAGGCUAUCGACGAAUUGCUAUUGUUAGGACAGAGGGUUGCGAUGCUUGAACGUUUACGGUGGCUUUGUUGAAGAUGUCCCAUCAUCCAAGAAGAUUCUUGCUACACUAAGGACUGGUAGUGAUAAAUAAAGAUGAAGCAUUUAUUGGAAUGUCAAAGCGGUCAUACAUGGAGGUGGUAAUGAACGGUUUAAACUCCAACGACUUGGUUGAUGUUGGUCCAAUCUCUGCAUUAGUGUUUCAAUUUCAGACGCCCAGGUGCUGAUAAAAUCUACAAUGUUUUCAACAAUCAACUUCCUGCAGUUUUGAAAAAAUUGAAAUUUGAUAAGCAACUCGUGAUGGAGAAUGUAUGAAAGAUAAUUAAUGAAGCAGAUGAUUACCAAUCACAUCUUAUCGCCCCUGAACAAGGAUAUCGCUGUCUCACUGAAUCUUUGUUAAUUACUAUUAGAGGCCAUGCAGAGGUAGCAGUUGAUGGGUAGGCAUUAUUUUAACUCACUGCCUAUAUUCACCGUCAAACAUAGUUGUACACACUAGUGUAAAUUAACAUUUAAAAAAAAUGAAAGUUGUG